GGGAAUGUUGCUUAGUGGUAGAGUGCUUGCCUGUUAUGCAUGAAGCUCUGGGUUCAAUUCCUUAGUACCA
rnacentral:tRNA from 1 species